rnacentral:rRNA from 1 species
AUUGAACGCUGGCGGCAGGCCUAACACAUGCAAGUCGAGCGGAUGAGGGGUGCUUGCACCCCGAUUCAGCGGCGGACGGGUGAGUAAUGCCUAGGAAUCUGCCCGAUAGUGGGGGACAACGUUUCGAAAGGAACGCUAAUACCGCAUACGUCCUACGGGAGAAAGUGGGGGCUCUUCGGACCUCACGCUAUCGGAUGGGCCUGGGUCGGAUUAGCUAGUUGGUGGGGUAAAGGCUCACCAAGGCGACGAUCCGUAACUGGUCUGAGAGGAUGAUCAGUCACACUGGAACUGAGACACGGUCCAGACUCCUACGGGAGGCAGCAGUGGGGAGUAUUGGACAAUGGGCGAAAGCCUGAUCCAGCCAUGCCGCGUGUGUGAAGAAGGUCUUCGGAUUGUAAAGCACUUUAAGUCGGGAGGAAGGGCUGUAGGUUAAUACCUUGCAGCCUUGACGUUACCGACAGAAUAAGCACCGGCUAACUUCGUGCCAGCAGCCGCAGUAA